GACGAACCGUGCGAACGUUGUUCGGAAUCACUGGGCUUAAAGGGCGCGUAGGCGGCCAUUCAAGUCCGGGGUGAAAGCCUCCAGCUCAACUGGAGAAGUGCCUUGGAUACUGGAUGGCUCGAGGGCGGUAGGGGCAGCUGGAACUUCCGGUGGAGCGGUGAAAUGCGUUGAUAUCGGAAGGAACGCCGGUGGCGAAAGCGGGCUGCUGGACCUCUUCUGACGCUGAGGCGCGAAAGCCAGGGGAGAGAACGGGAUUAGAUACCCCGGUAUUCCUGGCCCUAAACGAUGGGUACUAGAUUGUAGGCUUACAUGGGCUUACAGUCGAAGCAAAAGUGAUAAGUACCCCGCCUGGGGAGUAUGGUCGCAAGGCUGAA
rnacentral:rRNA from 1 species